rnacentral:rRNA from 1 species
CCUACGGGAGGCAGCAGUGGGGAAUUUUGGACAAUGGGGGCAACCCUGAUCCAGCCAUGCCGCGUGAGUGAAGAAGGCCUUCGGGUUGUAAAGCUCUUUCGGCUGGGAAGAAAUCGCACAGGCUAAUACUCUGUGUGGAUGACGGUACCAGCACAAGAAGCACCGGCUAACUACGUGCCAGCAGCCGCGGUAAUACGUAGGGUGCGAGCGUUAAUCGGAAUUACUGGGCGUAAAGCGUGCGCAGGCGGUUGUGCAAGACAGAUGUGAAAUCCCCGGGCUCAACCUGGGAACUGCAUUUGUGACUGCACGACUAGAGUACGGCAGAGGGGGGUAGAAUUCCACGUGUAGCAGUGAAAUGCGUAGAGAUGUGGAGGAAUACCGAUGGCGAAGGCAGCCCCCUGGGUCGAUACUGACGCUCAUGCACGAAAGCGUGGGGAGCAAACAGGAUUAGAUACCCUGGUAGUCCACGCCCUAAACGAUGUCAACUAGUUGUUGGUAGGGUUAAACCUAUUAGUAACGUAGCUAACGCGUGAAGUUGACCGCCUGGGGAGUACGGUCGCAAGAUUAAAACUCAAAGGAAUUGACGG